CAUGCUCUGUUGAUUAAUCACUUGACACGACGUAUUUAUGAAAAGCUUUGUCCAUGUAAUAAACAGUGACAAUUUUAUUAAAAAUGACGGCAUAUAUUGAUUCGCAAAAAUUAAAAACGAUUAUAAAUGAAAAAGACUGGGAUCAGUUACUGCAAAACGUCAAACCAAAGCAUUUUGUCAGACAAGAGUCAGAGACGAUACUUGAUGCAAAUAUCUUAGCACAAAUGUGUCAAGUACUCUUAAGCAAAGUCACUCCGGAUACGAUUAUAAUUUUAUGCUUGAAAUGUCUGGGGAACUCUUGUCUUGACGGUUACAAACAUAAACAACAUAUAAUAGAAAAUGCAGAAUCUAUUAAAUACAGUAAAAAUUUAUAUAAAGAAUUAGUUGAAAGUGAUUUAUGCAAACAAAGAAAAAACUGUGAUUAUCCACAUGAUUCUCAUUUUCCUUAUGACGGAAUUAUAGAAUGGACUGUAGAUUACAUUAAGAUUCAUGGAAAAUCCACUUACCAUUUAAUUGACAAUGAAUUGGAUAUCCUUAGGCUCAGUAUCCAAUUUUUAUGUAAUUUAUUUACAUAUGCCUGUCCAAAUAUUAUAUCUGCAGAAGAGGAUAUUCUAAGAUAUUUAAAUUGUGAUAACCUGAAACAAGCUAUUCUGAGUUGCAUGCGGUCUGAUAAUAGAUUACUAGCUAAUGCAGCUUGUAUUUAUGUGCACAAUGCGUUAAAAAAGUUAUGUCACAACUAUUUCACAAUGGAGAAGAAAGAUAUAUUUUUACAAUUAUUAAAAUCUGCCAAAGAAGGUUUUACAUCUGCAAAAGAUGCAUUGUUAUUCCUGUUACAUCAACCAAAUGUAUUUGAAGAUGUAUAUAAUAAUAUAACUAUAAAUGAAAAGUUAGAUUUACUUAAAAUUAUCUAUGAUGAAGUCUGGAACGCUUGGCAAUCUGAUUUUAAUACAGUGCUCAAAGAGGAUCAGGCUGAAUUUUUAGCAUUAACAUUUUGCAAAAAAAGUGAUCUCAUUUUAAAGACCGUGGACACAUACGUGAAUAGCAUAGAUCCUACAGAAAUUAUCCUUAUUCUUAAUAUUCUGGGACUUCUUACUACACAAUGCAAGAUCUCAGAAAAUGUCAGGAGUUUGCUUAUUAAUUGUAAAUACCUUUUGAUGUCGUUACAUAUGAUGGGAAAAGAAGCAGACAAUUAUUUUACUCCAAUAACAAAUUUAAGUCAAGUGGCACCUAAUACUCAAAGGAGAACUGUAAAUGUAUGCUCAAAUACAAAUGAUACCGAGGUAUCUGAAACAUCAGCGGCAAAUUGUGAUCCACAGGAACAUCCUGCAUAUGGCUUCAAAGCGGGACUAAUACAAGUCAUUGCAAAUGUAGUACACAAGAACAAAAUGUGUCAAGAUUUGUUUCGUGAAAUAGAUGGAAUUCCAUUGCUUCUGGAUUGUUGUAACAUAGACGCGAGGAAUCCGCUUAUCUUACAAUGGACCAUUCUCGCCUUGAGAAAUCUGUGCGAGGGAAACCCUGAGAAUCAAGAAAUUAUUAAAAAUUGUAAAAAAACGGGCGUGCCAGACAAUCCCGCGUUGCAAGAGAUGGGCUUGACUCUGCACGAGGACGCAGAUGGGAAAUUGAUCCGUAUCGUUCCUUUGCGUCGCAAUUAAGAAGAUUUAUCUAUUUUCUAGGACUCGAGAUAGCUCUCGGCGAUCAAUCAAUUCGAUAAUUAUCCAACUAUUGCUUGUUUGUAUCGAUAACAUCUUCGAUAAAAUACAAUGAUUGGUUUAUCUUGAUAUGUAUAAAUAAUUAUUGUUCCAAUUAGUUCGACUGAAAUGCAUCCUGCUGUAUCAUUCACGAAAAAACGACACCAUCAUUACAACGAUUUGUGUCAUUAAACGAAAUACGAUGUAUAGAGAGAAAUAUUUUAUCUACAUUCUUGGCCGAGUGAUUUACGAUACAAUAAAAGCUGCUACGAGAGUUCACGGUCUAUUAGUAAUUGCUAAUGCGGCGUUCUGCAAUAAAUAAAUUCGCAAUAAAUAAUCUGCACCCAUCCAUUUUUUUUUUGCCUUCUCACCAAAUUGCUCAAGACGGAUUCAUGUUUAAGAAUUGAUAGAACCUCCAAUUAUGCUGUC